rnacentral:rRNA from 1 species
CUGCUGCCUUCCGUAGGAGUCUGGUCCGUGUCUCAGUACCAGUGUGGGGGACCUUCCUCUCAGAACCCCUACGCAUCGUCGUCUUGGUGGUCCGUUACACCGCCAACUAACUAAUGCGACGCAUGCCCAUCCGCCACCGGAAUUAACCUUUGGCACCAACAGGAUGUCCCGUCGAUGCAUUAUGCCGUAUUAGACGGAAUUUCUCCCGAUUAUCCCGGCUGUGGCAGGCAGGUUGCAUACGUGUUACUCACCCGUGCG